CACUCCUGCGGGAGGCAGCAGUGGGGAAUAUUGGACGAUGGGCGCAAGCCUGAUCCAGCCAUGCCGCGUGAGUGAUGAAGGCCCUAGGGUUGUAAAGCUCUUUCACCGGUGAAGAUAAUGACGGUAACCGGAGAAGAAGCCCCGGCUAACUUCGUGCCAGCAGCCGCGGUAAUACGAAGGGGGCUAGCGUUGUUCGGAUUUACUGGGCGUAAAGCGCACGUAGGCGGACUAUUAAGUCAGGGGUGAAAUCCCGGGGCUCAACCCCGGAACUGCCUUUGAUACUGGUAGUCUUGAGUUCGAGAGAGGUGAGUGGAAUUCCGAGUGUAGAGGUGAAAUUCGUAGAUAUUCGGAGGAACACCAGUGGCGAAGGCGGCUCACUGGCUCGAUACUGACGCUGAGGUGCGAAAGCGUGGGGAGCAAACAGGAUUAGAAACCCGAGUAGUCCCAUGA
rnacentral:rRNA from 1 species